AGGGUUUCUCCAUGUUGGUCAGGCUGAACUCACCCGACCUCAGGUGAUCUGCCUGCCUUGGCUUAAAAUAAAAAAUAAAUUCAGUAUCAGCAGGGCAGCAGGAAUUGCCAUUAAAAAAAAAAAAAGAAAAUUGGAAAUGACUGCAGCCAGGUGUGUGUGAUUGGGCCCCGCGACCUUUUUCUUAGGCAAACAGGGCUUUGUGGAUGCAGAAAGACUUCUUUGGUUGUGUAGUUUGUCUCAGAGCCUCUCGUGGGUGGAGCCUGGUAAAAAGAGGAAAGAGACUCAUGUUGCUCAAUGUGAGGAAGCACCAGGAAUUUUGGAGAAGUUCCCAGCAGCUCAGGAGAGUGGCUGGUGCCUUGUCCCAGGGGAGAGGGAAAUAAGCACAGGCCUAUUUCUUUCUCAAGACGGAAAAACCGAGCCCCAGAAAAUGGCGAUAAGAUGGGGAUGCAGGAAAAAGCUAGCUAAUGAACAGUUCAGCAGUGGGCACCGUGUGGGAACCUCUCCUAAGCCGCCCUCCCUCUGAUGGAUGCAUGCUCAAGUGAUUU
rnacentral:lncRNA from 1 species